rnacentral:rRNA from 1 species
UACGUAGGGGGCAAGCGUUGUCCGGAUUUAUUGGGCGUAAAGAGCGUGUAGGCGGCCAGACAAGUCUGCUGUGAAAACUCGAGGCUCAACCUCGAGCUGUCGGUGGAAACUGUCUGACUAGAGUCCGGAAGAGGAGAGUGGAAUUCCUGGUGUAGCGGUGAAAUGCGCAGAUAUCAGGAAGAACACCUAUGGCGAAGGCAGCUCUCUGGGACGGUACUGACGCUGAGACGCGAAAGCGUGGGGAGCGAACAGG